CUACGGGCGGCUGCAGUGAGGAAUAUUGCACAAUGGGGGGGAACCCUGAUGCAGCAACGCCGCGCGGAGGAUGACGCAUUUCGGUGUGUAAACUCCUUUUAUAUGUCAAGAAAAUGACGGUAGCAUAUGAAUAAGCACCGGCUAACUCCGUGCCAGCAGCCGCGGUAAUACGGAGGGUGCAAGCGUUACUCGGAAUCACUGGGCGUAAAGGACGCGUAGGCGGGUUGGAAAGUCAGGUGUGAAAUCCUACAGCUUAACUGUAGAACUGCACUUGAAACUUCUAAUCUAGAGUAUGGGAGGGGGAGAUGGAAUUCGUGGUGUAGGGGUGAAAUCCGUAGAUAUCACUAGGAAUACCUAAAGCGAAGGCGAUCUCCUGGAACAUUACUGACGCUAAGGCGUGAAAGCGUGGGGAGCAAACAGGAUUAGAUACCCGGGUAGUC
rnacentral:rRNA from 1 species